UCACAGGUGGUUCAGCCAGUAAAGAAUGUGCCUGCAAUGCAGGAGACUCAGGUUCAAUCCCUGGCUUGGGAG
rfam:TPA: Bos taurus chromosome 20, whole genome shotgun sequence.